rnacentral:rRNA from 1 species
AUUGAACGCUGGCGGCGUGCCUAACACAUGCAAGUCGAGCGGUAACAGGUGUAGCAAUACAUGCUGACGAGCGGCGAACGGGUGAGUAAUGCUUCGGAAUCUACCCAAUGGUGGGGAAUAACCAGCCGAAAGGUUGGCUAAUACCGCAUACGUCCCACGGGAGAAAGCAGGGGAUCGCAAGACCUUGCGCCAAUGGAUGAGCCGAAGUCGGAUUAGCUAGUUGGAGGGUAACGGCCUACCAAGGCGACGAUCCGUAGCUGGUCUGAGAGGACGACCAGCCACACUGGGACUGAGACACGGCCCAGACUCCUACGGGAGGCAGCAGUGGGGAAUAUUGGACAAUGGGGGAAACCCUGAUCCAGCGACGCCGCGUGUGUGAAGAAGGCCUGCGGGUUGUAAAGCAC